rnacentral:rRNA from 1 species
CCUACGGGUGGCUGCAGUGGGGAAUAUUGGACAAUGGGGGGAACCCUGAUCCAGCCAUGCCGCGUGUGUGAAGAAGGCCCUCGGGUUGUAAAGCACUUUCAGUGAGGAAGAACGCCUGGUGGUUAAUACCCAUCAGGAAAGACAUCACUCACAGAAGAAGCACCGGCUAACUCCGUGCCAGCAGCCGCGGUAAUACGGAGGGUGCGAGCGUUAAUCGGAAUUACUGGGCGUAAAGCGCGCGUAGGUGGCUUGAUAAGCCGGUUGUGCAAGCCCCGGGCUCAACCUGGGAACGGCAUCCGGAACUGUCAAGCUAGAGUGCAGGAGAGGAAGGUAGAAUUCCCGGUGUAGCGGUGAAAUGCGUAGAGAUCGGGAGGAAUACCAGUGGCGAAGGCGGCCUUCUGGACUGACACUGACACUGAGGUGCGAAAGCGUGGGUAGCAAACAGGAUUAGAUACCCUAGUAGUC